rnacentral:rRNA from 1 species
AGGGAAUCUUCCGCAAUGGGUGAAAGCCUGACGGAGCAACGCCGCGUGAGUGAUGAAGGUCUUCGGAUCGUAAAACUCUGUUAUUAGGGAAGAACAAAUGUGUAAGUAACUAUGCACGUCUUGACGGUACCUAAUCAGAAAGCCACGGCUAACUACGUGCCAGCAGCCGCGGUAAUACGUAGGUGGCAAGCGUUAUCCGGAAUUAUUGGGCGUAAAGCGCGCGUAGGCGGUUUUUUAAGUCUGAUGUGAAAGCCCACGGCUCAACCGUGGAGGGUCAUUGGAAACUGGAAAACUUGAGUGCAGAAGAGGAAAGUGGAAUUCCAUGUGUAGCGGUGAAAUGCGCAGAGAUAUGGAGGAACACCAGUGGCGAAGGCGACUUUCUGGUCUGUAACUGACGCUGAUGUGCGAAAGCGUGGGGAUCAAACAGGAUUAGAUACCCUGGUAGUCCACGCCGUAAACGAUGAGUGCUAAGUGUUAGGGGGUUUCCGCCCCUUAGUGCUGCAGCUAACGCAUUAAGCACUCCGCCUGGGGAGUACGACCGCAAGGUUG